GACGAACGCUGGCGGCGUGCCUAAUACAUGCAAGUCGAACGCAGUGGGGACGGGUGAGUAACACGUGGGUAACCUCCCAUCAGAGGGGAUAACACUUGGAAACAGGUGCUAAACCGAUACUGAUGGAUGGACCCGCGGUGCAUUAGCUAGUUGGUGAGGUAACGGCUCACCAAGGCCACGAGGCAUAGCCGACCUGAGAGGGUGAUCGGCCACACUGGGACUGAGACACGGCCCAGACUCCUACGGGAGGCAGCAGUAGGGAAUAUUGGGCAAUGGACGAAAGGCUGACCGAGCAAUGCCGCGUGAGUGAAGAAGGUUUUCGGGUCGUAAAACUCUGUUGUUAGAGAAGCGUUAUCUAACCAGGAAGCCACGGCUAACUACGUGCCAGCCGCCGCGGUAAUUC
rnacentral:rRNA from 1 species